rnacentral:lncRNA from 1 species
ACAAUUAGACUCCACCAAUGUCAGACUGCUGAAAUGUAAAAAAUGGCCAUCAGGAUUUUCUAGGGCAGCAUAAUUAUUCUGGGAAUAGGUAAAGGAGUUUUGAUUGAGAUGAAGAGGUCAAAGAAGUGAGAAGCACUGAAAGACACAGAAGUUUGUUCCUUCCAGUGGGUUCGUGGUCUCACUGACUUCAAGAAUGAAGCCGCGGACCCUCAUGCAAGGACCAGACCCAGGGGCAAAAUCUCACAGCUGCAGUAUCAUUUAAGACUCAGAGAGAGCCUAUCUUUCUGGGCAAAGGGGCUGAAAAGAAGGACCCUGUGAUCCAAAGAAUUGGGGGUAUGGAAUCCACCUGGAAUUUCCUUGUGUUUAUGGUUCAAGCAGUUCUUGAGUAUUAUACCACUUGACAAUUGAGGCAGAAUCAAAGAAAGUACUAAUGCUCUUCAGUAAAAUAUACAAAACUACAGACAAUGGCAGUGCCUUAUUUUGUAAAGUAUAUAGCUAUGAGCCUUUGCUACUCCUUGCUGACAUUUGGAAUUUAACUGAAGUGUCUUGUUAAAAAACAUUUAUGGAAAUAAAAAGAAUAUCUUUCCUUUUUAGGGAUAUAAA